UACUAGAUGUUUGUGAAAAUGUGCUUGGUGU
rnacentral:piRNA from 1 species